UCCUGCCCUAUGAUUAUUUAAAUGGCUGCAGUAUCCUGACUGUGCAAAGGUAGCAUAAUAAUUAGUCUUUUAAUUGAGGACUUGUAUGAAUGGAUUAAUGAGAAAUUUAUUUUAUUUUUAAUAUUAUUAGAAUUUUAUUUUUAGGUAAAAAAGCUUAAUUAAUUUUCUGGGACGAUAAGACCCUAUAGAACUUUAUUUCUUAUUUUAUUUAUUUUAUUUUAGAUUAGUUUUAAUUUAUUCUGAUUUGUUUAUUUUGUUGGGGCGGCAAAUAAAUUUUAACUUUAUUUUAUAAAUUCAUUAUUUUAUGUUAUUUUGAUCCAAUAUUUUGAUUAAAAGAUUUAGUUACCUUAGGGAUAACAGCGUAAUUUUAAUGGGGAGUUCUUAUUUAUAUUAAAGUUUGCGACCUCGAUGUUGAAUUAAGAUAAGAUUGAGGGGUAG
rnacentral:rRNA from 1 species